rnacentral:rRNA from 1 species
UGGGGAAUAUUGGACAAUGGGCGAAAGCCUGAUCCAGCAAUGCCGCGUGUGUGAAGACGGCCCUAGGGUUGUAAAGCACUUUCAGUAGGGAAGAAAAGCAGCGGGUUAAUAGCCCGCCGUAAUGACGUUACCUACAGAAGAAGCACCGGCUAACUCCGUGCCAGCAGCCGCGGUAAUACGGAGGGUGCGAGCGUUAAUCGGAAUUACUGGGCGUAAAGGGCGCGUAGGUGGUCUGAUAAGUCGGAUGUGAAAGCCCCAGGCUUAACUUGGGAAUUGCAUUCGAUACUGUCAGGCUUGAGUAUGGUAGAGGGAAGCGGAAUUCCGGGUGUAGCGGUGAAAUGCGUAGAUAUCCGGAGGAACAUCAGUGGCGAAGGCGGCUUCCUGGACCAAUACUGACACUGAGGCGCGAAAGCGUGGGGAGCAAACAGGAUUAGAUACCCCCGUAGUCC